UACAGAGGUCUCAAGCGUUGUUCGGAUUCAUUGGGCGUAAAGGGUGCGUAGGCGGCGCGGUAAGUCGGGUGUGAAAUCUUGGAGCUUAACUCCGAAACUGCAUUCGAUACUGCCGUGCUUUGAGGACUGGAGAGGAGACUGGAAUUUACGGUGUAGCGGUGAAAUGCGUAGAUAUCGUAAGGAAGACCAGUGGCGAAGGCGGGUCUCUGGACAGUUCCUGACGCUGAGGCACGAAGGUCAGGGGAGCAAACGGG
rnacentral:rRNA from 1 species